AGCAGCCGCGGUAAUUCCAGCUCCAAUAGCGUAUAUUAAAGUUGUUGCAGUUAAAAAGCUCGUAGUUGAAUUUCGGGGUUAGUAGGUUGGUCAUGCCUCUGGUAUGUACUGGUCUCACUGAUUCCUCCUUCCUGAUGAGCCGUAAUGCCAUUAAUUUGGUGUUGCGGGGAAUUUGGACCGUUACUUUGAAAAAUUAGAGUGUUUAAAGCAAGCUAACGCUUGAAUACAUUAGCAUGGAAUAAUGAAGUAGGACGUUCGAUCCUAUUUUGUUGGUUUCUAGGAUUGACGUAAUGAUUAAUAGGGAUAGUUGGGGGCAUUAGUAUUCAAUUGUCAGAGGUGAAAUUCUUGGAUUUAUUGAAGACUAACUACUGCGAAAGCAUUUGCCAAGGAUGUUUUCAUUAAUCAAGAACGAAAGUUAGGGGAUCGAAGACGAUCAGAUACCGUCGUAGUCUUAACCAUAAACUAUGCCGACUAGGGAUCGGAUGAUGUUAAUUUUUAAUGACUCAUUCGGCGCCUUAAC
rnacentral:misc_RNA from 1 species